rnacentral:rRNA from 1 species
UAGCGGCAGGCUUAACACAUGCAAGUCGAGGGGUAUAGUAGCAAUACUAGAGACCGGCGCACGGGUGCGUAACGCGUAUGCAAUCUACCUUUUACAGAGGGAUAGCCCAGAGAAAUUUGGAUUAAUACCUCAUAGCAUAGUAGUACCGCAUGGUAGUACUAUUAAAGUCACAACGGUAAAAGAUGAGCAUGCGUCCCAUUAGCUAGUUGGUAAGGUAACGGCUUACCAAGGCUACGAUGGGUAGGGGUCCUGAGAGGGAGAUCCCCCACACUGGUACUGAGACACGGACCAGACUCCUACGGGAGGCAGCAGUGAGGAAUAUUGGACAAUGGGCGCAAGCCUGAUCCAGCCAUGCCGCGUGCAGGAUGACGGUCCUAUGGAUUGUAAACUGCUUUUGCACAGGAAGAAACAACUCUACGUGUAGAGUCUUGACGGUACUGUGAGAAUAAGGAUCGGCUAACUCCGUGCCAGCAGCCGCGGUAAUACGUAGGGGGCAAGCGUUGUCCGAAUUUAUUGGGCGUAAAGAGCUCGUAGGCGGCUUGGCAAGUCGGGUGUGAAAACUCCAGGCUCAACCUGGAGAUGCCACUCGAGACUGCUAUGGCUAGAGUCCGGUAGGGGACCACGGAAUUCCUGGUGUAGCGGUGAAAUGCGCAGAUAUCAGGAGGAACACCGGUGGCGAAGGCGGUGGUCUGGGCCGGCACUGACGCUG